ACAAUUGUGCGGUCAUAAGGCUCCCUCCUAUACAAACCAAUCUAAAUCCUGUCGUUAUGCCUAAGUCUAACUUACUCAUCCUCUUUUUUCACUCUUUUUCAUUCUAGUGCAAUCACAUUAAGCACUUUAUCUAUUCACACACAUGGUAACUGAGCUUGUUAGUGACUAUGAUCCAUUUUUUUUCUCAACAAUUUAGAAUUAAACAUUUUUUUUUCUUUUCUUUUUUUCUUUUUCACUUUUUGUCUUUUUGUCUUUUUUUUUUCUUCUUAUUAAGCACAAGAUCAUUCACUUAUUUGCAUCAGCUCAACUACUUAGCAUGUGAUUUUUAGAUGGUGCUGACUGCUAGAUAAACUACUUAAAAGCUAUUAGAGGACGAGAACU
rnacentral:lncRNA from 1 species